UACGGAGGGUGCAAGCGUUGUCCGGAAUCACUGGGCGUAAAGGGCGCGUAGGCGGCUCAUGAAGGCUGUGGUGAAAGUCCGGGGCUCAACCUCGGAUCGGCCGUGGCGACUCGUGGGCUGGAGCACUGUAGAGGCGGGUGGAAUUCCGGGUGUAGCGGUGGAAUGCGUAGAUAUCGGAAGGAACAUCAGUGGCGAAAGCGGCUUCCUGGACCAGAACUGACGAUCAGGCACGAAAGCGUGGGGAGCAAACAGG
rnacentral:rRNA from 1 species